GCACUGGUGGCUCAAAGGAGUAGGGUGCCGGCCCCAUAUACCGGAGGUGGCGGGUUCAAACCCAGCCCUGAGCA
rfam:Otolemur garnettii contig106505, whole genome shotgun sequence.